rnacentral:rRNA from 1 species
GAUGAACGCUGGCGGCGUGCCUAAUACAUGCAAGUCGAGCGAAUGGAUUAAGAGCUUGCUCUUAUGUAGUUAGCGGCGGACGGGUGAGUAACACGUGGGUAACCUGCCCAUAAGACUGGGAUAACUCCGGGAAACCGGGGCUAAUACCGGAUAAUAUUUUGAACUGCAUGGUUCAAAAUUGAAAGGCGGCUUCGGCUGCCACUUAUGGAUGGACCCGCGUCGCAUUAGCUAGUUGGUGAGGUAACGGCUCACCAAGGCAACGAUGCGUAGCCGACCUGAGAGGGUGGUCGGCCACACUGGGACUGAGACACGGCCCAGACUCCUACGGGGGGCAGCAGUAGGGAAUCUUCCGCAAUGGACGAAAGUCUGACGGAGCAACGCCGCGUGAGUGAUGAAGGCUUUCGGGUCGUAAAACUCUGUUGUUAGGGAAGAACAAGUGCUAGUUGAAUAAGCUGGCACCUUGACGGUACCUAACCAGAAAGCCACGGCUAACUACGUGCCAGCAGCCGCAGUAA